rnacentral:rRNA from 1 species
AUUGAACGCUGGCGGCAGGCCUAACACAUGCAAGUCGAACGAGUGGCGGACGGGUGAGUAAUGUCUGGGAAACUGCCCGAUGGAGGUGGAUAACUACUGGAAACGGUAGCUAAUACCGCAUACCAUCGGAUCUGCCCAGAUGGGAUUAGCUUGUAUGUGAGGUAACGGGCCACCUAGGCGACGAGCCCUAGCUGGUCUGAGAGGAUGACCAGCCACACUGGAACGGGGACACGGUACAGACUCCUACGGGAGGCGGCAGUGGGGAAUAUGGCACAAUGGGCGCAAGUCUGAUGCAGCCAUGCCGCGUGUAGGAAGAAGGCCUUCGGGUUGUAAAGUACUUGCAGAGGGGAGGCGGUACCCGCAGAAGAAGCACCGGCUAACUCCGUGCCAGCAGCCGCGGUAAUUC